AUUAAACCUCAUAAGGAGAUUGUUUAUGUGUUGGAUUCUUUAAGUCAUCGCAUUUGUGAUGAAGAUUGGAAAUAUGUUAUGGAAAUGGCGUUAAGAUUAUUUAAUUCGAACAAUGGAAGGAAAGGAAGAAAGCAUGUACAAUGGGAAGUAAUCAAGGCUCUUAGGCAGCCAGAUGUGAAAUAAUGUGGUUAUUACGUGAUGAGAUUUAUGAGACAAAUUACUGAAGAAAUUGCAAUGAUCGAGGGGGAUACACUACCAUCAAUAUUCACAAAAGCGGAAUACUCUCAAGAAGAAAUUGAUGAAGUGCGCUCUGAAAUAGCCGAAUGCAUACAAGAUCAUAUUUAUGAAUAGGGAAAAGAUAAUGACCAUACCCAGAAAGGAGAAGAAAAGAGAAGCUAGGAGGGAGGAGAAAGCACAGGGUGUUUAGAAAGCAUAUAUAAACUCUGCAUAAUACCUCAGGGAAAAGACUGCAGUUCUCGAUAUGGU